ACCAUCCACAUCUUCUUCCUCCACUACCAUGGAUGUAGCAGACACAGGGUCUGAUAAUGAAAGCAGUGUGGGUCCUACUUCAAAGGAGAGGAGAGACCUGCUUGAUGCAAAACUAAAAGGACACAGACACGACCGUCUGAGGAGAAAGCUGCCUGCUGAGACCCAGUGGCUGAAUGCUCUUGAGGAAGACCAGCGUGUGAAAAAGAGACUGGUGGAAAUCAUUGAGACAUCAGAACAAAAAGCAUCCGAAAACUAUUCAAAAAUGUCCAAUACACUGGAAAGACUUACCACAUCGAUUGUUGAUGGGUUUUCUCUUCUGAAACAGGUCAUUCAUGCACCUGCACAACCACCACACUACAUGCCAUAUGAGCCAAGAGGUCCGAUGUAUUCGCACACAAUGGCCCACCAUUCUGUCCACCAAAACUCAGCAAAUUACCCAUACCCAAACAACUCCACUUCUGACAGAACACGUCAAAACACAAGACCAGGAAACACUAUGAACACUGAAGCUGUGUUCCACACACCUGCUGAAGCCACUGACCAAUUUUCAUUCAGUCAGGCCCUUUUUAAUGACCAGUAGAGUACUGUUUUAUACAUCGAAACAAGUCUGGUACAGUUAAGUAUAUACAAGUUCCACUUUUGCACAAGGUUGCACACAUGUCAGGUUGUUAAUCACAGUGUUAUUUACUCUGACAGUGUUUUUUUUUUUCUGUUUGCUAUCUUUUUAUACAUACUGUGAAAAGCUUAAAAUGUAGCAAUUGCACAAUACUUUAACUAUUUACAUUUUUGUUACGUGAAUCUUUAUAAGAGUGGUGAUCUAGUCCAGUCCUUGGGAGCUACUGCUACUUAGAUGUAUUUAUUUCUCCAAAACACCACUAUCAAAUACAUACUGAUGAUUGAAAUCAGCUAUUUCAUACUGGUUUGUUGAAGAAAAUGCAGCUGAAAUGUACCUGUGGUAGCUCCCAAGUUAUGGACUUGGGCAUCACUGAUUUAAAAGUGUACAGUAACUGUGCUGCUUUUCUCCCAUGUUUAAAAAGCUUUAUCUGUUGUAGAUCUGUUAUAAUCUGAUCUGUUCAUAAAUGAAACACAAAAUAAGAACAUGUUAAGUGUGUUCGUUUGAAUAAAUUGACAAACAUUUUAAAA